CAAAAAUAGUUUAAUGAUGGUGACACUUUAAUGUAACAACUCUUUUUUUAGUGUGUAAGUAUCAAGUUCAAGUUUAAUUAGAGACGUAUUUAUAAUUAAAAUUGCAAUGCAAUACAGUGACUUACUCUAAAAUAGAAAAAAAUCCUUUCUAUAGAUUACAACUAUUAUUAUUUACUCACUGACCAUUGACAAAGAGCAAAACGAAGUGAAAACUAUUACCAUAUUUGAAGCAUGUAACAUGUCUUUGUCAAGCAAUCAUGAGUCCGAAAAUCGUGAUGCUUUACGUCAAACACGCAUAACGUAUUUAUAAGAAGAUUAAACUAUGAUACACCAUUAUAUAUAGCUUUAAUGUCAAUAAUUAAAUACCCGUUUUGCAAUUCAUUUCAUGGCAAUACACACAGUUAUUGAACUCAUCAAGAAGGUGUACAACUAAUGUACCAAUUUUCUUCUUCAGUGUGUGAGUAACAAUUUACAUAUGAUUGAGAGAAGAAAAGUACAAUCAUUAUUAGUCACAUAAUCGCCGAUGACCAUAAACAAAACGAACAGAAAGUUGACACCAUAGUUGAAGCAGCAUGAAAACCUGCCUUGUCAAGCAUACAUAAAAGCAAUAACUAUUUAAGAAAUAACUCAUG
rnacentral:lncRNA from 1 species